rnacentral:rRNA from 1 species
UACGUAGGGGGCAAGCGUUGUCCGGAAUUAUCGGGCGUAAAGAGCGCGUAGGCGGUCCGGUAAGUCGGUUGUGAAAGUCGGGGGCUCAACCCUCGGAUGCCGAUCGAUACUGCCGGGCUAGAGUCCGGAAGAGGCGAGUGGAAUUCCUGGUGUAGCGGUGAAAUGCGCAGAUAUCAGGAGGAACACCAAUGGCGAAGGCAGCUCGCUGGGACGGUACUGACGCUGAGGCGCGAAAGCGUGGGGAGCAAACAGG